AGGAACUAUGUCAUCUUGCCUCAUGACAUCACUGAAGAUUAGGCCCUUCAAAAUUCUACUGAACCAUCAGGAGCUCUAGUGGAAGAGACUUCAGAUGAUUCUCUAUAGAAGGUGUCUUUACUAGUAAAGGCAAGGUCGAAAACGUACAUUUCUUGUGCUUGGAACAAAGGAGAAAGGAUGGAUUUAUCACUAAGUGAGAGAUGCACAUGAACCACAAGCGUGGAUCACACCCCUGUAUCUAUAACUGAUGGGUAAAAGCCUUGCUCUGAAAACACCUCAAGUUCUGACCUGCAUCUGAAUUUUGUGCC